GCCCUGUCGCGUGACUGGCGCAGUCGUGGAGCACCACGAGGGAGCGCGAUGCCUUCUCCCGCCGCGCGCCUGGGCGAUCUUC
rnacentral:ncRNA from 2 species